GCCCAAUGAUGAGACCAAGGCGAAUGUGAUCUCACUGGUUAAGAUCCUGAGCUCUCCUGUUUUCCUAUUGGCCGGUAAUCUUGGCUGGGCAGUGGAGAUUUGCUGCUUUGCUAUAAGGGCCUGCCUACAUUAAACAAAGCCCCUCCCAUUAGCUUAUCUGCAAAGAAAUGCAGGAGAGAGAGAUGGAAAGGGUGGUCAAUGUGCGUGCGUGUGUGUGUGGAUACAGGACGAGACUCUGUUAUCUGUAAUAUCCAGUGGGCUGUGAACUGCUUCUUUAAUAAUCUGAGGGCA